AUGGCGUGCAGCUUCUCCCCUUCCUCCGCCACGAGGCUCCAGGCGGUGGACGCGGCGGCCGUGAAGAGCGCAAGGGUGCCCCUCAAGGCGUCGGUCUCGCCCGCGCCGAGAUCGCUGGGCGGCUGCAGGGCUGCCCGCCAGGAAUUCGAGGGCGCGACACAGGAUCCAAGCGUCUCAGUUUCUUCGGCACGUACACAGCUGGAUCUCCUGGAGCAACUGACGUCGUCCUCCACACCUAAUGGCACCGAGAAUGAAACCGCUACGGAAACCCGUGUGCUCACUACCAUCCGCGAGCAGCUGGUAGCGCUGUACGGUGACAGGGGAGGCGAAUUCACAUUCACCCUCCCGUUGGGCAAGAGGCUCAGGGAAGGCCUCAAGACCCUCAACACCCUCACUGUCUCACAGAGGAGGAACAUCAAGAGGCAGGCCAUGCUCACCAAGGUUAGCGGGAGGAAUGACUCAGUGUUCUUCGCGACUGUCGGUGCAUUCGUCCUCGUGCCGCCUAUCGCAAUUUUAGCUAUCGCUGUCUUAACUGGUUAUGUCCAGCUCUUGCCAUGA
rnacentral:rRNA from 1 species